GACGAACGCUGGCGGCGUGCUUAACACAUGCAAGUCGAACGGUGAACCUGCUUCGGUGGGGGACCAGUGGCGAACGGGUGAGUAACACGUGGGCAACCUGCCCUCAGCUCUGGGAUAACUCCAAGAAAUUGGGGCUAAUACCGGAUAUGUCCGCUGACCGCAUGGUCUGGUGGUGGAAAGAUUUAUCGGCUGGGGAUGGGCCCGCGGCCUAUCAGCUUGUUGGUGGGGUAGUGGCCUACCAAGGCGACGACGGGUAGCCGGCCUGAGAGGGUGACCGGCCACACUGGGACUGAGACGCGGCCCAGACUCCUACGGGAGGCAGCAGUGGGGAAUAUUGCGCAAUGGGCGAAAGCCUGACGCAGCGACGCCGCGUGGGGAUGACGGCCU
rnacentral:rRNA from 1 species